rnacentral:rRNA from 1 species
UACGUAGGGUGCGAGCGUUGUCCGGAUUUAUUGGGCGUAAAGCGCACGCAGGCGGUCUUUCGCGUUUUGAGUGACAGGUGGGGGCUUAACUCCCACAGGCCUCAGAAGACGGGAAGACUUGAGGGCUUCAGAGGGACGCGGAAUUCCUGGUGUAGCGGUGAAAUGCGCAGAUAUCAGGAGGAACACCGGUGGCGAAGGCGGAUCUCUGGGCCAUUACUGACGCUGAGGAGCGAAAGCGUGGGGAGCGAACAGG